rnacentral:ncRNA from 1 species
CUGGUUACGCAAGUGUGUGAUUAAAAGGGAAUUCCGUGCAAAUCGGAAACAGUCCCGCUGCUGUAAACGACCAUUCAUAGGCUGCGACGCUACACAAUCCACUGAAUAACAUCGGGAAGGAAGUCGCCGUCGGUCGAAGUCAGAAGACCUGCCGUGGCUA